CAGUCGCCGCGGGAAUACGUAGGUGGCAAGCGUUGUCCGGAAUUAUUGGGCGUAAAGGGCUCGCAGGCGGUUUCUUAAGUCUGAUGUGAAAGCCCCCGGCUCAACCGGGGAGGGUCAUUGGAAACUGGGAAACUUGAGUGCAGAAGAGGAGAGUGGAACUCCACGUGUAGCGGUGAAAUGCGUAGAGAUGUGGAGGAACACCAGUGGCGAAGGCGACUCUCUGGUCUGUAACUGACGCUGAGGAGCGAAAGCGUGGGGAGCGAACAGGAUUAGAUACCCGAGUAGUCCCUGUCUCUUAUAC
rnacentral:rRNA from 1 species